rfam:Camelus ferus unplaced genomic scaffold scaffold458, whole genome shotgun sequence.
GAAAUGGAAGUGAUCUGCUGUGACAUCUGAGCACCAUUGAUCACCACGGCUGAUACAGCUCAUCAGGCCGGCUCCAAAGGCAUCCUUUUCCUUCUUCAUCACUUCACGUGUGUCAUACUAAAGCCACGACUCUCAAUCAGUUCCCAGAUAAAGGUAAUUCAUUCUUAGAGUAAGGUGAUGUGCGAAGAUGAGUUCUAUUGCUGGAGGCUCCAAACAAAUGAACUUUAUUUCUAAGAUCCAUUACUCAAUUCAGCUAAUUUGUACCUCUGCAACAUAUU